CACAGGAGACACUCCUGGAGAGGCCACCUCCAAAUCUGGUCAAUGUAAGGAAAGCUGUUCGGCAGGUAGGCCAUGGCAGUUCUCAGUGACUUCAUCAUUAGGCCCUGCCUGAAAAAUCUCUGGUAUCGUGGAGAGCCCUAGCUUCAUCUGUGAUGUCACAAGUGUUGUCAUGUCAGCCACUGCCUCUCAGAUAUUCCUUCCAUAUUUCUAUGGUUUACUAAUUGGCCUCUAAUUCAGAGUAAAGAGCCAUUUGGAAGGGAGGACAAAUAGGAUGAAGAGAUCAGAGAUGGGGAGAAGGAAGAUGGCCUUCUGUCAUGGUAUAAUAGAAAAGAAGAAAUAUGUGUUUCUUGGGAAAACACCCUGAAAAUUUUCAUCAAAGGAGCAAGAAAUUCUUCAUAACUUCAACACAACAUGGCCUUUGGGAACAGAAUAAAACACAAAUAAGGAAAGGCGGAAAA